GUGGGGGAUAUUGCACAAUGGGGGAAACCCUGAUGCAGCGACGCCGCGUGGAGGAAGAAGGUUUUCGGAUUGUAAACUCCUGUCGUUAGGGACGAUAAUGACGGUACCUAACAAGAAAGCACCGGCUAACUACGUGCCAGCAGCCGCGGUAAAACGUAGGGUGCAAGCGUUGUCCGGAAUUACUGGGUGUAAAGGGAGCGCAGGCGGGAAGACAAGUUGGAAGUGAAAACCAUGGGCUCAACCCAUGAAUUGCUUUCAAAACUGUUUUUCUUGAGUAGUGCAGAGGUAGAUGGAAUUCCCGGUGUAGCGGUGGAAUGCGUAGAUAUCGGGAGGAACACCAGUGGCGAAGGCGGUCUACUGGGCACCAACUGACGCUGAGGCUCGAAAGCAUGGGUAGCAAACAGG
rnacentral:rRNA from 1 species